rnacentral:rRNA from 1 species
GUCGCGGUGAAUACGUUCCCGGGCCUUGUACACACCGCCCGUCACACCAUGGGAGUGGGUUGCACCAGAAGUAGCUAGUCUAACCUUCGGGGGGACGGUUACCACGGUGUGAUUCAUGACUGGGGUGAAGUCGUAACAAGGUAGCCGUAGGGGAACCUGCGGCUGGAUCACCUCCUUA